rnacentral:rRNA from 1 species
UACGUAGGUGGCUAGCGUUGUCCGGAUUUAUUGGGCGUAAAGAGCGUGUAGGCGGCCAUUUAGGUCCGGUGUGAAAACUCGAGGCUUAACCUCGAGAUGUCAUCGGAAACCAUUUGGCUAGAGUCCGGAAGAGGAGAGUGGAAUUCCUGGUGUAGCGGUGAAAUGCGCAGAUAUCAGGAAGAACACCAAUGGCGAAAGCAGCUCUCUGGGACGGUACUGACGCUGAGACGCGAAAGCGUGGGGAGCGAACAGG